UACGUAGGGGGCAAGCGUUGUCCGGAUUUAUUGGGCGUAAAGAGCGUGUAGGCGGUGCUCUAAGUUCGGUGUGAAAUCUCCCGCUUAACUGGGAGGGUGCGCCGGAAACUGGAGUGCUCGAGCGUGGGAGAGGAAAGCGGAAUUCCCGGUGUAGCGGUGAAAUGCGCAGAUAUCGGGAGGAACACCGGUGGCGAAGGCGGUUCUCUGGGCCUUACCUGACGCUGAGGAGCGAAAGCGUGGGGGAGCGAACAGG
rnacentral:rRNA from 1 species